CGGUGGCUUUGGAAAUGUCUAGAAUUUCUUUAGUUUGGAUAACUAGGGAAUUAAACCUUUUUUUUUUUUUCUGUUUUUAAAUCAAAGUUUCGGAUUCAGCAAUUAUCAAAUUGAUAUGAGGAAGGUUUGUUUGAUGAUGGAUUUUGCCUUUAAGCUCUCUAACUCUGUUUCAAGCCUAUGCAUUUUUCUUUGGAUCCAGUGGUGUACGUAGGAGUAUACUGCAAAUUAUAAAUCUCCACUUCUCGCGAUAUUUACAUCCGUGUGCUGCCUUAGGAUUGAUAUUUUGGGGUCCAUCAUGAUGUAAUUUUCUAUUUUGCCACAGUUUUAAUAAGGGCUGACAGAUUUUUUGGCACACAUUCACGGGGCCCCUUUGGUGAUGUUUUCUUAGCGACUCAUCACCAAUUGGGUCAUGAUUUUCAGGAGUAUCGUGAAGUGGCUGUCAAGGUGCUGCAUCCAUUAAAGGAGGGCUAUACUCAAAAGUUUCUGGACAAGUUUAAGGAGUUAUUUUUUAAGUGCCUAGCACGACCAGGUGUUUGUUUGUUGCAUGGUAUCAAUAGUUAAAGGAAAGGCGACUUCCUUGAAUUUGAAUAUAGUUUUUUUAAACACGCGGAAAUUCUUUCCUAUCUCUCACCACAUUGGUUCACUUCUGAUGCCUUUUCAGAUCUGCAUUGUGAUGAAAUUUUAUGAGGGAUCAGCGGGUGAUCGAAUGGCUCGGCUCAAAGGUGGCAAUCUUCAAUUGUCUGAUGUUUUAAGGUAUGGGAUCAAAUUGGCAAAAGCGAUUAUAGAGUUGCAUUCAAUUGGGACCCGGGUGCUGAACCUCAAGCCUUGUAACUUUCUGCUUAAUGAAUUGAAGUUGCUGGUUUAUGAACUGGUUUGUUGGUGGAAAUGUUGGGUAGAAAUGUUGAUACUGAAAUGUACUACAAAUUGGCCUUUGUUGGGUGAUACUGAAUGUUGGUGGAUUUUGGGAUGC